rnacentral:lncRNA from 1 species
GUCAUAUCUUGCUCCCCAAUUAUUUGAGGGACAAAAGGUCAGAUUUCUUAAAUUGGAGUCUGCAGUUUCACCUUUUCCCGCCUCAGUCGUUUCCCAGGCGGGCAGGUGCUGGGACCUGCGCGGGCCACCCCGACCAGCCUGGGUCUAGACUCCCAGCUGCGGGUGCCCGGCUGCCUCCAGCUGGACGCGCUCUCCUGGAACACAGAUCUGAGCGUGUGCAUGUGCAGGUGUAUGUGAGAGAGAUCAGCCCUGUCAGCCCUCCUCGAACCCGCACUGCCCGCCUGAUGACCGCCAAGGAGGGCCAGGCCCUGCUGAGUCACGAGGCCGCUCCCCCGCUGGGCACUGAGUCAUUCUUAACGAGCCCUCUGACGGGCAAACUGCUGCCAUCAUCCAGGAUUCACCCAAGUCUGCAGGAUUUGAGAACAUUCUUCCGGGAAGGAGUCUGGAGCCUCCCCCACACGGCUGCCCACAUCAGGAGCCUCAGAUACAGAGGCCUUUUUCCUUGCCUUUGGCCUCAGCAUCCAACACUCCACUCUUCUCAUGGAAACUCCGGGGGAGCGGCAGCGGAAACUCCAUCCGAUGCUUCACUGGGAAUCGGCACUAAGUUGGGGGGGGUGGCACCGCCUUCCAGGCCAGGAUGNGGGGGGGGGGGGGGGGGGGGGGGGGGGGGGGGGACAGGCACCCUGGGGUCACAUGAAAGUCUAGUCAUGGGACUUAGAUUUUCUUUGGUUUUCCCCCAAAGGCUGCUCUUUGAACUCAGACCCCUCCAAUGGGGCUGGUCUUUUGACUGGUGUUGGGUUUUCUGAAUCCGCUUCAUUGAGCGCUCCUGGGGGACCAAGGUGGCCAGUGAGAUGCCAGGAAUUUUUUUUCCUCUAAUGUUAUUUAAAGAGAGCU